UACGUAGGUGGCAAGCGUUGUCCGGAUUUACUGGGCGUAAAGAGCGCGCAGGCGGUCGUUCAAGUCGCGUGUGAAAGCCCCCGGCUCAACUGGGGAGGGUCACGCGAUACUGAUCGACUCGAAGGCAGGAGAGGGUAGUGGAAUUCCCGGUGUAGUGGUGAAAUUCGUAGAUAUUCGGAAGAACACCAGUGGCGAAGGCGGCUCACUGGCCCGGUACUGACGCUGAGAUACGAAAGCGUGGGGAGCAAACAGG
rnacentral:rRNA from 1 species